GAUGAACGCUGGCGGCGUGCCUAAUACAUGCAAGUCGAGCGAACAGACGAGGAGCUUGCUCCUCUGACGUUAGCGGCGGACGGGUGAGUAACACGUGGAUAACCUACCUAUAAGACUGGGAUAACUUCGGGAAACCGGAGCUAAUACCGGAUAAUAUAUUGAACCGCAUGGUUCAAUAGUGAAAGACGGUUUUGCUGUCACUUAUAGAUGGAUCCGCGCCGCAUUAGCUAGUUGGUAAGGUAACGGCUUACCAAGGCAACGAUGCGUAGCCGACCUGAGAGGGUGAUCGGCCACACUGGAACUGAGACACGGUCCAGACUCCUACGGGAGGCAGCAGUAGGGAAUCUUCCGCAAUGGGCGAAAGCCUGACGGAGCAACGCCGCGUGAGUGAUGAAGGUCUUCGGAUCGUAAAACUCUGUUAUUAGGGAAGAACAAAUGUGUAAGUAACUAUGCACGUCUUGACGGUACCUAAUCAGAAAGCCACGGCUAACUACGUGCCAGCAGCCGCGGUAAUACGUAGGUGGCAAGCGUUAUCCGGAAUUAUUGGGCGUAAAGCGCGCGUAGGCGGUUUUUUAAGUCUGAUGUGAAAGCCCACGGCUCAACCGUGGAGGGUCAUUGGAAACUGGAAAACUUGAGUGCAGAAGAGGAAAGUGGAAUUCCAUGUGUAGCGGUGAAAUGCGCAGAGAUAUGGAGGAACACCAGUGGCGAAGGCGACAUUCUGGUCUGUAACUGACGCUGAUGUGCGAAAGCGUGGGGAUCAAACAGGAUUAGAUACCCUGGUAGUCCACGCCGUAAACGAUGAGUGCUAAGUGUUAGGGGGUUUCCGCCCCUUAGUGCUGCAGCUAACGCAUUAAGCACUCCGCCUGGGGAGUACGACCGCAAGGUUGAAACUCAAAGGAAUUGACGGGGACCCGCACAAGCGGUGGAGCAUGUGGUUUAAUUCGAAGCAACGCGAAGAACCUUACCAAAUCUUGACAUCCUCUGACCCCUCUAGAGAUAGAGUUUUCCCCUUCGGGGGACAGAGUGACAGGUGGUGCAUGGUUGUCGUCAGCUCGUGUCGUGAGAUGUUGGGUUAAGUCCCGCAACGAGCGCAACCCUUAAGCUUAGUUGCCAUCAUUAAGUUGGGCACUCUAAGUUGACUGCCGGUGACAAACCGGAGGAAGGUGGGGAUGACGUCAAAUCAUCAUGCCCCUUAUGAUUUGGGCUACACACGUGCUACAAUGGACAAUACAAAGGGCAGCGAAACCGCGAGGUCAAGCAAAUCCCAUAAAGUUGUUCUCAGUUCGGAAUGUAGUCUGCA
rnacentral:rRNA from 1 species